AAGGAAUAUUGGACAAUGGACGCAAGUCUGAUCCAGCCAUGCCGCGUGAAGGAUGAAUGCCCUCUGGGUUGUAAACUUCUUUUAUAGGGGAAGAAAGAUACUUUUUUUAAGGUAGUUGACGGUACCCUAUGAAUAAGCACCGGCUAACUCCGUGCCAGCAGCCGCGGUAAUACGGAGGGUGCAAGCGUUAUCCGGAUUUACUGGGUUUAAAGGGUGCGUAGGCGGGCAUGUAAGUCAGUGGUGAAAUACCGGAGCUUAACUUCGGAACUGCCAUUGAUACUAUAUUUCUUGAAUAUUGUGGAGGUAAGCGGAAUAUGUCAUGUAGCGGUGAAAUGCAUAGAUAUGACAUAGAACACCGAUUGCGGAGGCAGCUUGCUACGCAAAUAUUGACGCUGAGGCACGAAAGCGUGGGGAUCAAACA
rnacentral:rRNA from 1 species